rnacentral:rRNA from 1 species
UCAAGAGGGCGUGAAAUCGCCAAGAUUGAAGCGGAUAGAGUCGACGAAACUCGGCGGCAUUCAUGCGCUGUGACUUGCGUGGUUGUGCUCGCGAUCCCUAGCGGGGCGUGGGUGUGAUUUAACGCCGGUAGCGGCGCUGCAAUUGCCGUCGGUAUGUGCCGAGAACGCGGUUGUCGUGCGUCGAAGCGAGUAUAGUGGACCAGACGCUUGCGUUUGUGAACCUGUGCACGUUGAGGCGUGUCGGUGAUCGCGUAGUAGUGCGGAUGUUGUGCGCUUGGCUUGCGUUGUCUGGCUGGCCGUCGGCGGUCGCAUGCGACUUGAUCGACGGUUUAGAGAGGCGGCGUGGGUCGGGUGUGUUCGUCUGCGAUGGGUCUCGGCGUGACCGUUGAUCACCUAUCCGACCCGUCUUGAAACACGGACCAAGGAGUCUAGCAUAUGCGCGAGUCAUGAGGUGUGCGAAACCGAGAGGCGAAGUGAAGGUGAAUACCGACUUAGAUCGGCUGAUAUGAGAUGCCCGCAGACACGGCUGCGAGCGGCAUCAUAGCCCCGUCCUCGUUGCUUGCAAUGGGGCGGAGGCAGAGCGUGUGCGCUGGUACCCGAAAGAUGGUGAACUAUGCCUGAGCAGGGUGAAGCCAGAGGAAACUCUGGUGGAGGCCCGAAGCGCUUCUGACGUGCAAAUCGAUCGUCUGACUUUGGUAUAGG